CAAAGCAGGGGCGUAUUCACGGGCGUACUGACACCCGGGUGCCACUCCUGGUUUGGGCUGAGUCCAGAGGGCCCCAAAACUGUAGGGGGCCUGAAACCACAGGAACAUUACGCGACUGGCCUGGUAGAGUCACUGGGGGACACAUGUUCCGGUGCCAUACGAGGGGUGCCGUCCGCUUCCCAGCCAAACCCGCACGCUUGGAGGGCUCCGGGAGUAGAGCGGGGAUAAUCCCACCGCACGACUCAGACACCGCCUUUUGUAGGUACAUAACUUACAUAAUCAAU
rnacentral:lncRNA from 1 species